rnacentral:rRNA from 1 species
UGGUCAAGCGACAAAGCGCAUACGGUGGAUGCCUUGGCGGUCAGAGGCGAUGAAGGACGUGGCAGCCUGCGAUAAGCGUCGGGGAGUCGGCAGCAGACUUUGAUCCGGCGAUGUCCGAAUGGGGCAACCC